UAGGGAAUCUUCGGCAAUGGACGGAAGUCUGACCGAGCAACGCCGCGUGAGUGAAGAAGGUUUUCGGAUCGUAAAGCUCUGUUGUUAGAGAAGAACGUUGGUAGGAGUGGAAAAUCUACCAAGUGACGGUAACUAACCAGAAAGGGACGGCUAACUACGUGCCAGCAGCCGCGGUAAUACGUAGGUCCCGAGCGUUGUCCGGAUUUAUUGGGCGUAAAGCGAGCGCAGGCGGUUCUUUAAGUCUGAAGUUAAAGGCAGUGGCUUAACCAUUGUACGCUUUGGAAACUGGAGGACUUGAGUGCAGAAGGGGGGAGUGGAAUUCCAUGUGUAACGGUGAAAUGCGUAGAUAUAUGGAGGAACACCGGUGGCGAGAGCGGCUCUCUAGUCUGUAACUGACGCUGAGGCUCGAAAGCGUGGGGAGCAAACAGG
rnacentral:rRNA from 1 species